rnacentral:rRNA from 1 species
AACAGUACCGCGAGGGAAAGGUGAAAAGAACCCCGGGAGGGGAGUGAAAUAGAACAUGAAACCGUGAGCCUACAAGCAAUGGGAGCCCUACUUAUAGGGUGACCGUGUGCCUGUUGAAGAAUGAGCCGGCGACUUAUAGGCACUGGCGGGUUAAACCGGAAAUGGUGGAGCCAUAGCGAAAGCGAGUCUGAAUAGGGCGUUUGUCAGUGUUUAUAGACCCGAACCCGGGUGAUCUAACCAUGGCCAGGAUGAAGCUUGGGUGAUACCAAGUGGAGGUCCGAACCGACUGAUGUUGAAAAAUCAGCGGAUGAGCUGUGGUUAGGGGUGAAAUGCCAAUCGAACCCGGAGCUAGCUGGUUCUCCCCGAAAUACGUUGAGGCGUAGCGUCUAGUGCUCCAGCAGGGGGGUAAAGCCACCAUUUCGGUGCGGGCUGCGAGAGCGGUACCUAAUCGAGAUGAACUCUGAAUACCCUGUGUGUAACUAGGCAGUCAGACUGUGGGGGAUAAGCUCCAUAGUCGAAAGGGAAACAGCCCAGACCGCCAGCUAAGGUCCCUAAAUCAACACUAAGUGAUAAAGGAGGUGGGAUUGCACAGACAACCAGGAGGUUUGCCUAGAAGCAGCCAUCCUCAAAGGAGUGCGGAAUAGCUCACUGGUCGAGGGAUCCUGCGCCGAAAAUGAACGGGGCUAAGCGUUGUACCGAAGCUGCGGAUUUUCAUGGUAGGGGAGCGUUCAAUACGGUGCGAAGCGUUAGCGUGAGC